GGAAGGGCGGCCGAGUUGGUUAUGGCGCCAGGUUGAGGUCAGCUUGACAUCUGGUUUUUCCUGGUGGGGCAACCCGCGCGAGCUCUAGUCUCGUCCCUUUCA